rnacentral:piRNA from 1 species
UGCCUAUGUAUGUGUGAAUUUCACAGUGC